rnacentral:sRNA from 1 species
UCUUCUGUCCCAUAUUGGUUUCAACAAGAGAUUUGUCUCCACCCUGACCACGGAUGUACUGGCAGGAUGUGUUGAGGCAAUUUGGGAAGGUCGGUGCGAAUUUCGCCCGGCCUUUUUCCGU